rnacentral:rRNA from 1 species
AUUGAACGCUGGCGGCAGGCCUAACACAUGCAAGUCGAACGGUAACAGGAAGCAGCUUGCUGCUUCGCUGACGAGUGGCGGACGGGUGAGUAAUGUCUGGGAAACUGCCUGAUGGAGGGGGAUAACUACUGGAAACGGUAGCUAAUACCGCAUAACGUCGCAAGACCAAAGAGGGGGACCUUAUGGCCUCUUGCCAUCGGAUGUGCCCCGAUGGGAUUAGCUAGUAGGUGGGGUAACGGCUCACCUAGGCGACGAUCCCUAGCUGGUCUGAGAGGAUGACCAGCCACACUGGAACUGAGACACGGUCCAGACUCCUACGGGAGGCAGCAGUGGGGAAUAUUGCACAAUGGGCGCAAGCCUGAUGCAGCCAUGCCGCGUGUAUGAAGAAGGCCUUCGGGUUGUAAAGUACUUUCAGCGGGGAGGAAGGGAGUAAAGUUAAUACCUUUGCUCAUUGACGUUACCCGCAGAAGAAGCACCGGCUAACUCCGUG